CCCGCCUGCCUGAGCCUCCCAGCCUCUCUGCCACUGAGCCACGUUCUCUAAAGCCGGCAUCCGGCUGCGCGUGCUCCUCGCAAACCCCGGAGAAGACCGGGAGACCCACCUGACACGCACGAGGAAACUGAAGCCUAAGGCUGGAAGGGACCUGCCCGAGAUGCCCCAGAAAAUUAACAGAACGCUGAACAGGGUAUAUAUGUUUCUCCAACAAAAAGCCCUGGGAGAUGUUUUAAAACUGCAGUGGCACUCUGGGUUGACGACAGUCAAGGAAGGAUUUGAAAAAGACAGCACUGUAUAAUCUGGUCCUUGAAAGAAGAUGUCUUCAGGAGGACAUUCGUCUGGAACAGACGCCAGACUCAGAUCCAGAAAACAUGCUUUUCUACCACCUCUGGGUCCCUUAUGCCAGCAUCACCCCCAGGCCCCCUGGACACUCAAGAGGCCAGGAUCUCUGAUUGCAGGGAGGAGAGAUGAGGUCUGGCUACCCAGGAUGGCCCCACACCAAGCUUCCUCCUGUGCCCCAGCAGCUCCUGUCUUGGCACACAGCUCUCGGUCCCUGCUGAGCAGAGAGAGCCAAAGUGAGGCUGUUGAUGCUGUGAAAAGGGCACGGGCUGACCACCCCCCACUUGGUUUCACCAGGAGCUAUGUGACACUGUUCUGUCUCUUCCCUUCCCCAGGCUUGAGUUGGCUGUGGUGGCCUCUGAUCGCUUCCAGCCCCCUAAAAUCUUCUCUCCUGUAGCAUCAUGCCACAUCACAAGUGAUUUAGACCCCCGCCCCCAGACCAUGAGCUCCAGGAAGUCGGGAAUCACAUCUUUUUCACUGCUGUGCCCCCACAGACUAGCUGGGACCUGACUCCUAGAAGGAACCUAAUAAAUAUGUGUUCAGUGA